rnacentral:rRNA from 1 species
CCCUUAGAUGUCCUGGGCCGCACGCGCGCUACACUGAGUGUCUGAGAUAUGAGGCAUGCCUGGUCCGGCAAGGUCUAGGUAAUCACGAAAAGGCACAUCAUGCUUGGGAUUGAUUAUUGCAAAUUUUAAUCAUGAACGAGGAAUUCCUAGUAAGUGCAAGUCAACAGCUUGCGUUGAUUACGUCCCUGCCCUUUGUACACACCGCCCGUCGCUCCUACCGAUUGAAUGUGUUGGUGAGGAGUUCGGAUUGGCAAUGGGCGGUGGUUUUCCACUGCCUAUGGCUGAGAAGUUCUCCAAACCGCCCCAUUUAGAGGAAGGAGAAGUCGUAACA